rnacentral:rRNA from 1 species
UACGUAGGGGGCUAGCGUUGUCCGGAAUCAUUGGGCGUAAAGCGCGUGUAGGCGGCCCGGUAAGUCCGCUGUGAAGGUCGGGGGCUCAACCUCGGAUGCCCGGUGGAUACUGUCGGGCUAGAGUACGGAAGAGGCGAGUGGAAUUCCUGGUGUAGCGGUGAAAUGCGCAGAUAUCAGGAGGAACACCAAUGGCGAAGGCAGCUCGCUGGGACGUUACUGACGCUGGAGACGCGAAAGCGUGGGGAGCAAACAGG